AAGACGUUAAUAAAACCAUUAUGUUGCCUUGUCAAGGCAAAAUCGCGGGUUAAAGCCCCGUACGUCUUG
rnacentral:tRNA from 1 species